GUGUGUAUAUAUAUAUAUAUAUAUAUAUAUGCUUCCUUAUAUGUGCACAAUUAUUUGUGCAUUCAUGAAUAGUGCACAAUAUUUGUUGUAUUAUUCAAGAAAAAAAUCCAUCAUAUCAUAAAUGGAAAAAAAAUCAAUUAAAAUUGAUCUUUUGCAACAUCUUAUAACAGUAAAAUCAAUACCAAAGUCAUUAGGCUACUAGGUUCCAAUAAAUAUAUAUAUAUACACAGCUACCAUGAACAGCAGAUAUUUAGGAUGUGCUGUGUCAUUCAAUCAAGUAUCUGCAUAUUAUAAGUCCUGCUCAAUCACAGCAAAGUUUACACAACAGAGUACAUACAUACAUACAUGCAUAUAUAUAUAUAUAUAUAUAAAACAUAUAUAUAUAUUUAUAGCUGCCAUAAAAGUAAGCUCUCCAUUGUUGUUGUUGUUCUUCUUCUUCUUCUCAUUAUUAUUAUUAUAAUUAUGGCUAACAGAAUCGUGAGCAUGCUAAGCAAAAUGCUUAGCAGUAUUCUGUCCAUCUUUACAGUCUGAAUUUCAAUUCCACCAAGGUCAACUUCGCCUUCUGUUCUUUUGGAAUUGGUAAAAUAAGUACCAGCUGAGCCACUUGGGAUGAUGUAAUCGACUUACCUGCUCCCCCAGCUUACCGGCCUUGUGCCAAAAUUUGAAAUUAUUAUUAUUAUUAUUAUUAUUAUUAUCAUCAUCAUCAUCAUUAUUACCAUUUGAUGCAAUUUAAAAAUUUAUAUAUUUCGCUUGAAUUUUGUCUAAAAAUUAUCUGCUAUCAUGGAACAAGUUUCGUUGAAGACAGCAAUGAGAAAGUGAAUGUUUAAUUUUUAAAUACACAUUGCUUCCUAGAACCUGCUUGAUUUAAUCUAGUUUUGGUGAGGUCUCUUUUUCUCUUUUUUGUCUGCUUUUUUCUUUCUUCCUUUCUUUAUUUAAACUACCUUCACUAUAUAUUACUUUUUAUUCUAUUUUUAUUCAACUACAGACACACACACACUCACACACAUAUAUAAAAAUUAAGGAUAUCUACCAGACUUGUACUUACAUUAUUAACUAUGUAUUAUAUGCUUACAGACAUAAGUGAAUUAAUUCUGAUACCCUGAAAUAUAGAUACACAGUUAUUCACAUGGCAAUUUGUAGACCUGUGGAGCUAGACGUCCUUGGUUGGUAUCUAGAUUGGUUGCUAACUUAUUCUAUAUCAUGAGUUGUUACUAACUUACUAGACUGAGUUGUGACUUAUAUAUAUAUCUACAUUGCUUGGUAAGUUACUAGCAUCUAGUUUGGUUGGUAAUUUUCAGACGUUUAGAGUAGUUGAAAAGCUUAUAUCUAAAUUGGUUGGUUAAUAAUAAAAGAAAUAUAUAGAUAUAUCAAAAAUUUGAAAUUUUAUAUACGUGUACCGAAAUUUAUAUGUAUAUUUAUCCAUGGGUACCUAUAAAAGAACUGAUGAAGGAAUCGUAUAAUGUGUAUCUAAAUUUAUGUAAAUAUUUAUAAUGGAUGCCUAUGUGAGAAUUGAUGUAACGAAUUUAUGACAAAUGUUCAGGACAUUUGAAGAAUAGUAAACAAAGAUCAUACGAGUAUUUAUAUUUUGGUAUCAUAGUUCCUUUUGUGUGCAUGCUAAAAGCAAGGUACAUGAACAAAGGCCACAGCCGUUGCCAUGGGUACAAAAUAUGAGGGCACGCUUUUGCAUUUGUUGCAGCUUCCAUAGUUCUUGGGAUUGGAGACAAAACUAUGGAAAAGGUUUUGGUAUCAUCUCUUUCUAUUAUUUCUUGGCUUUUACUCUCUUUUAGCUUAUUUUUAUCACAAUAUCCACCACCACCACCACCACCACUAUUACCGCUAUCACUAUCUUUACUAAAACUGCUGUUGGCUGUCGCUAUUAACAAAUCAAGCAUAUGCUACAGGUCACGGGGUUUUUGUUAUUAUCAAGGUCUCUUAUGGUACCAUAUCCUUCUGGUACCAUAUCUUUUAUGGUACCACAUCUUUCUGGUCUGGUUCGUUAACCUAUUAAACACUUGAUUAAAAUUUAAAAAAAAAAAACAUUUGUAGAAAAAUAAGAAAUAUUACAUUUCUUAUAUAUUAAACUAUAACCAAAUAAAAAAGUAAAUAAAAAAAAACAAGGGAAAUAUUUAAGAUCUCACCACCAUGCAGCACCCAGGAACCAGUUCCAGUUCUUCAAAGACCAGCACCAUCAACAGUCACAGACAACAAGGAAGGGAGACAACAAGCAGCAAAACAGAUUGGACACCUUACCAUAAUAAAUAUACGAUCUGUCAUGAUUUUACUGGAAUAAGAACUUAAUGCAAGGAACAAUGACAAAAAGACUAACAGCACAGAACAACAUCAAAUAUAUAUAUACACACACAUGCAUCCAUAUAAACAAAUAACUUGGAAACUGUUUUUAUAUAUAUAUAUGUAUGUAUAUAUUUAUAUGUAUGUAUGUAUGUGUGUAUAUGUAUACAAUAUGAAUUAAAAGAGAUCGAUCUAUUGAAUCCAACUAAUAUAGCCUUGAAGAGGGCUCUAUGAUGAAAAUAGAGUCACUAAGAAUUCGUUUCUGGAGGUGACACCAAUCAUACUUUAUUUUUUUAUAUAACCGCUACACAACACUCAAAAAGACAACAUUCAAAAGAAUCCAGAAUCCAUUAACUCUGAGGGAUUUUUUUUGUCAUUUAUUCAGUGUUCUGUGAACAUUUCUUUCUUUUGGCUACAUUUAUAUACGGCGGACAUUUUGUACAGUUUCAAACAAAAUAAUGCACUAUGUUUUUUAAAUAAAGACAUUUAGUAAAAAAAAAAAAAGAAAAAGAAUAUAUUAUCAAAUGCUCUUAUA